GACAGAGGGUGCAAACGUUGUUCGGAAUUACUGGGCGUAAAGCGCGUGUAGGCGGUUUGAUAAGUCGGAUGUGAAAUCCCCGGGCUCAACCCGGGAAGUGCACUCGAUACUGUCAAGCUAGAGUAUCGGAGAGGUUGGUGGAAUUCUCGGUGUAGAGGUGAAAUUCGUAGAUAUCGAGAGGAACACCGGUGGCGAAGGCGGCCAACUGGACGAAUACUGACGCUGAGACUCGAAAGCGUGGGGAGCAAACAGG
rnacentral:rRNA from 1 species